AUCAGGAAUUAAAUUUGAUUUUUUUUUUAACUUUUUAUUUUUCUAUAUCAUUUUUUGUUGUUCUUUUUUUUGUUAUUGAUGACAAAGGCACUCAAUGAGUUAAAUAAGUAACAGUUUGGUAUUAAGGCCAAAGUAUAGAGUGGCUAUAAUUAAAGAGAAUGUGUUUAGAAUCCAUUAGCCAAGAAUCUGUUGAACCAAACUCAAUCAAAUUUGAUUACAUACUUUCCAAACUAUGGGAGUUUUAUUUUGAUAAAGAAAAUAAAACAGUGCUGAAAUGCAUCACCAGAGGUAAAAUUCUGUUGUACAUAAAGUUAAUAUGCAAAUUCACACACUCAGAUGCUAAAUUAUACAAAUUUCAAUCAACUGACAUUAUCAGAUCCACAAUAAUAAGCCUUUACAGGAAUGGUAUGGGUUUAAUAUGACCUACUAGAUGAUGUGAUCGUUGCUUUAUGCAAUACUCUGUUUAUGUGAUUGUGCUUUGUUCGUGACACUUUAUUACUGAAAUAAUAAUAAUGCUUUUCUGUUCCACUUAACUUAUUCUGGAGAGCAAAAGGUUUAUAAAAAGGCC
rnacentral:lncRNA from 1 species